CGGCAGCACGGGAGCAAUCCUGGUGGCGAGUGGCGAACGGGUGAGUAAUACAUCGGAACGUGUCCUGUAGUGGGGGAUAGCCCGGCGAAAGCCGGAUUAAUACCGCAUACGCUCUACGGAGGAAAGGGGGGGAUCUUAGGACCUCUCGCUACAGGGGCGGCCGAUGGCAGAUUAGCUAGUUGGUGGGGUAAAGGCCUACCAAGGCGACGAUCUGUAGCUGGUCUGAGAGGACGACCAGCCACACUGGGACUGAGACACGGCCCAGACUCCUACGGGAGGCAGCAGUGGGGAAUUUUGGACAAUGGGCGCAAGCCUGAUCCAGCAAUGCCGCGUGUGUGAAGAAGGCCUUCGGGUUGUAAAGCACUUUUGUCCGGAAAGAAAACGCCGUGGUUAAUACCCGUGGCGGAUGACGGUACCGGAAGAAUAAGCACCGGCUAACUACGUGCCAGCAGCCGCGGUAAUACGUAGGGUGCAAGCGUUAAUCGGAAUUACUGGGCGUAAAGCGUGCGCAGGCGGUCCGCUAAGACAGAUGUGAAAUCCCCGGGCUUAACCUGGGAACUGCAUUUGUGACUGGCGGGCUAGAGUAUGGCAGAGGGGGGUAGAAUUCCACGUGUAGCAGUGAAAUGCGUAGAGAUGUGGAGGAAUACCGAUGGCGAAGGCAGCCCCCCUGG
rnacentral:rRNA from 1 species